CAUAUAGAUCAACCAAAAAUAGACAAAAUAAUCAAGUAUGUAUGCAGUGAGGCAAACCGUGAAGAAGACGCAGAUUCAAAACUAAAUAUGGAAACAUUUGCCGAAGCAAUUCGGGCUCUUUCAGUCAAAUACACAAGUCAGGAAAAU